UUUUUAAAAAGUUGCCAUGAAAAAAAGCUGAUAAGGAUUUUGGUGUUUGGUAAACAUCCCAAAACAGCUUUAUUUCAAAGUUUCACAUGAAAAAAAGCCAAAAAGUGGAAGCUGCAUUUUGCAGCUUCCAGAAGCCGCUUAUUUUUCCAAAACGCGGAGCUACAGUACCCAAUUAAUGAAUUUUUUCAAUUUACCAAAACUGCCCCCGCCUUUCUCCUUUCUCCUUCUCCCGAUCCUACACUUUGCACUCUCUCCUUCUCUGUUGCAAAAAACUCCCGCCGCUGCACCUCUUCCUCCUCCUCCUUUUCGUUUCUCUCCGUCACUCUCAACGCCACACCGCCGUCGCCUUCCAGGUGAAGCUCUCUGGAUCAAUUAGUAGUCAGUACUUGACUGCUUUGCUUAUGGCAGCUCCUUUGCACUGAACUAAGAAAGCUGGGAGCAACUAUUGAAGAGGGACCAGAUUACUGCAUAAUCACACCGCCAAAAAAAUUAAACGUGACAGCAAUAGACACGUAUGAUGACCACCGAAUGGCCAUGGAUUUCUCUCUUGCUGCCUGUGGAGACGUUCCAGUUACUAUCAAGGAUCCCGGUUGUACCAGAAAAACAUUCCCCGAUUACUUUGAAGUCCUCAGGAAGUUUACCAAGCAUUGAACAUCGGUUAUAAGAUAUAUUUAUCUGUAGAUAGGGAGAGAGAGGGAUCGUCCUUGUGCCUCUACAGCCAAAGCAGUGCAGAUGGAAGCCACACUUGUUUCAGUUUCUCUUUAUUCCCCUGUAAUUUUGGAUGAUUUGUAUUUGCGAGUUGAGCUCGUUAUUAAGAAAUAGAAUAGCGGCAAGUUUGAUGAAUGCAUCUAAUUAGAUUACUUUUAAGUACAUUAACAAUAUUGUACUAAUGAAUUCUAACUAUUCAGUCUAAAAUAUUUCAAUUGAA